ACUUGUGCGGCAGUCGGGUGGGAAGCCGUGUCUCGCAGUCGUGGACUCGUGCAGCUGGGGCGUCCGCAGCCGCUCGUCACCCGCGUGAUGCUGUUUCUGGCGUUGGGCAGCCCGUGGGCGGUCGAACUGCCUCUCUGCGGAAGGAGGACUGCAUUGUGUGCGGCCGCCGCGCUCCGAGGUCCCCGGGCCUCUGUCUCCCGGGCGUCCUCCAGCAGCGGGCCUUCGGGGCCGGUAGCCGGCUGGAGUACGGGGCCUUCGGGAGCCGCGCGCCUUCUCCGGCGUCCGGGUCGAGCGCAGAUCCCUGUUUAUUGGGAAGGAUAUGUUCGAUUCUUAAAUACGCCAUCUGACAAAUCAGAAGAUGGAAGGCUAAUUUAUACUGGCAAUAUGGCCCGAGCAGUGUUUGGCUGGAGUGCAGUGGCAUGAUCUUGGUUCACCAUACUCUUCGCCUCCCAUGUUCAAGCGAUUCUCCUGGCUCAGCCUCCUGCUGGGAUUACAGGUGUGAAAUGUUUCUCUUAUUCUACGAGUCUGAUUGGCCUUACAUUUCUGCCAUACAUUUUUACACAAAAUAAUGCUAUUUCUGAAAGUGUGCCUCUGCCUAUUCAAAUCAUAUUCUAUGGCAUCAUGGGAAGCUUUACGGUGAUCACCCCAGUGCUGCUUCACUUUAUUACAAAAGGCUAUGUCAUUCGAUUGUACCAUGAGGCCACAACAGACACUUAUAAAGCCAUUACCUACAAUGCUAUGCUUGCAGAAACGAGUACAGUGUUUCACCAGAAUGAUGUGAAGAUUCCAGAUGCUAAACAUGUAUUUACCACAUUUUAUGCUAAAACAAAAUCACUGUUAGUUAAUCCAGUGCUCUUUCCAAACCGUGAAGACUAUAUCCAUCUAAUGGGUUAUGACAAAGAAGAAUUUAUUUUGUAUAUGGAAGAAACCAGUGAAGAGAAACGGCAUAAAGAUGACAAAUGAGCCUAUUUGUUAGUGUUCGUGCUCAAAUGUGAUUUACGUUUUAAUGUAUAAUAAUAAAAUUGCCUUUUGCAUUCCGUUAGUGACUGAUUGUUAAAAAUAAUUUGAAAUUAUCAAAGCUUUUAAUUUCCAGAGAAUGAUGUUUGUUUAUAAUAAAACAAGCUAUGUUUGAAAACCAAAAUGUAGUAUCUACCAUUCGUGUUUUAGAAAGGUAUGUGAAUAAAUAUGUUCAUGCUAGUAUAAGAGUUCUGUGUUACUGUGGUUGACUCUAAACUGGGGAUCUGAUGUCAGUAGCAAAUGGGAGAGUUGCUUUAUUCUUUGUGUAUGGAUUUUUCUAAGUGUAUAAAUAUUUUCCGACAUUAAAAGACAUUUUCUCUUUGAGGAAGACACAGUCAUAGGUGGUGCGGAGCUGUGGUCCACCUGCUCCUGCUCCUGACUCACUGCUCUUUGCUGUUGCCUGAGGACCAAGUCUGUCAGGAAGCUGGCUAGGAAGCCUUGCAGCAGCCAUGGCUUUUAAACAUACCAGAAAAACACCCGUGGAGUCAGAGGUGGCAAUUCACCGAAUUCAUAUCACUCUAACGAGUUGCAACGUAAAAUCCCUGGAUAAGGUGUGUGCUGACUUGAUCUGAGGAGCAAAGGAAAAGAAUCAGUGAAAGGACCAGUUUGAAUGCCUACCAAGACUUUGAGAAUCACUACAAGAAAAACUUACGGUGAAGGUUCUAAGGCAUGGGAUCGUUUCCAGAUGAGAAUCCACAAGCGACUCAUUGACUUGCGCAGUCCUCAGAUAGUUAAGCAGAUUACUUCCAUCAGUAUUGAGCCAGGAGUUGAGAUGGAAGUCACCAUUGCAAAUGCUUAAGUCAACUGUUUUCAUAAAUUGAUUACCAGUUGUUAAAAAAUUUUCAAAAAACCGCAAAAUUUCAAGAAAUUCACAAAUUAUGGGAGCAGUUUUAAGUCUUCUUUGGUUCAGAACACAGGUUUUUGCCUAACCCCUGGCAUGAUUGCCCAUAAGAACAUACAUGUACAGUUGAACUGGUGGUUAGCUAUACGGGAAAUGGUAAGUAGUGUUGUCUUCAGUAUCUUAAUUUGUUUCUGCAACUGUGCACUCCUCCCUUGGUGGCACCCUAUGGGUGUAGGAAAACCACUGUUAUUAAACAGGUGAAAAAUA